UACGAAGGGUGCUAGCGUUGUUCGGAAUUACUGGGCGUAAAGCGCACGCAGGCGGCUCGAUAAAUUAGAAGUGAAAGCCCCGGGCUUAACCUGGGAAUUGCUUUUAAGACUGUCGAGCUAGAAUCCAGAAGAGGGUAGUGGAAUUCCGAGUGUAGAGGUGAAAUUCGUAGAUAUUCGGAAGAACACCAGUGGCGAAGGCGACUACCUGGUCUGGCAUUGACGCUCAUGUGCGAAAGCGUGGGGAGCAAACAGG
rnacentral:rRNA from 1 species